UUCCGUUCUCAGAUCCUCUGCUUCCUGUUCGCCUUCCUGCUAAUGCACAACCUGGGAGGCAACAAACAGCAGGGUCAGGUUCCG
rnacentral:miRNA from 1 species